rnacentral:rRNA from 1 species
GACGAACGCUGGCGGCGUGCUUAACACAUGCAAGUCGAACGGAAAGGCCCUGCUUUUGUGGGGUGCUCGAGUGGCGAACGGGUGAGUAACACGUGAGUAACCUGCCCUUGACUUUGGGAUAACUUCAGGAAACUGGGGCUAAUACCAGAUAGGAGCUCCUGCUGCAUGGUGGGGGUUGGAAAGUUUCGGCGGUUGGGGAUGGACUCGCGGCUUAUCAGCUUGUUGGUGGGGUAGUGGCUUACCAAGGCUUUGACGGGUAGCCGGCCUGAGAGGGUGACCGGCCAGAUUGGGACUGAGAUACGGCCCAGACUCCUACGGGAGGCAGCAGUGGGGAAUAUUGCACAAUGGGCGGAAGCCUGAUGCAGCAACGCCGCGUGCGGGAUGACGGCCUUCGGGUUGUAAACCGCUUUCGCCUGUGACGAAGCGUGAGUGACGGUAAUGGGUAAAGAAGCACCGGCUAACUACGUG